rnacentral:rRNA from 1 species
GUGGGGAAUAUUGGACAAUGGGCGAAAGCCUGAUCCAGCAAUGCCGCGUGAGUGAUGAAGGCCCUAGGGUUGUAAAGCUCUUUUACCCGGGAUGAUAAUGACAGUACCGGGAGAAUAAGCCCCGGCUAACUCCGUGCCAGCAGCCGCGGUAAUACGGAGGGGGCUAGCGUUGUUCGGAAUUACUGGGCGUAAAGCGCACGUAGGCGGCUUUGCAAGUCAGAGGUGAAAGCCCGGGGCUCAACCCCGGAAUAGCCUUUGAGACUGCAUCGCUUGAACAUCGGAGAGGUAAGUGGAAUUCCGAGUGUAGAGGUGAAAUUCGUAGAUAUUCGGAAGAACACCAGUGGCGAAGGCGACUUACUGGACGAUUGUUGACGCUGAGGUGCGAAAGCGUGGGGAGCAAAC